UAGGGAAUCUUCGGCAAUGGACGAAAGUCUGACCGAGCAACGCCGCGUGAGUGAAGAAGGUUUUCGGAUCGUAAAACUCUGUUGUUAGAGAAGAACAAGGACGUUAGUAACUGAACGUCCCCUGACGGUAUCUAACCAGAAAGCCACGGCUAACUACGUGCCAGCAGCCGCGGUAAUACGUAGGUGGCAAGCGUUGUCCGGAUUUAUUGGGCGUAAAGCGAGCGCAGGCGGUUUCUUAAGUCUGAUGUGAAAGCCCCCGGCUCAACCGGGGAGGGUCAUUGGAAACGGGGAGUCUUGAGUGCAGAAGAGGAGAGUGGAAUUCCAUGUGUAGCGGUGAAAUGCGUAGAUAUAGGGAGGAACACCAGUGGCGAAGGCGGCUCUCUGGUCUGUAACUGACGCUGAGGCUCGAAAGCGUGGGGAGCAAACAGG
rnacentral:rRNA from 1 species